CACAGCUGCAGGUAAUUAAUGAAUUAACUCUGCCUUUCUCCUCCUCCCCAGCCUACAAAUAGAGGCCAGCGAUGGCUCAGAGCUUCUUCCAGAUGAGCUGGAGACAGCAAAGGAUUUUGGCCAGGCCUUCUUUAAGUUUCCUUGCUGAGCUUUCACUGUGAAGCCAAAUCUGCACUGUUUGGUGUCUGCAGCUUCGUUUCUGGGUCCAGGCAAUGGGAUGGAGAAAGGAUGGGGGUGAUCCAACAGCCAGCAUGGAAGACUCCAAGCAUCGCUGAGCACAGGGCUGACAGUAGAGGGACCCGAGCUGACCCAUUGACUCCCAGAACUUCAAAAUGUGCUCAGAGAGGUGAAACGCAGAGCCACCAAAACCACACCUUGGUCAGGAGCUCAGCAGCCCCUUCUCCUCCCCACGUGGAAUUAAUGAGAGAGAAAACUCAGAGAUACGAUGUGCUGGAAGUGCCACAGCUCCGUCGCCAUCCCUGUUGCUCCCAUUCGCCAGCAUCACGCACAGCAUCCCGAAUGCGUGACCUCGGCAAACGACACAUCGAGGCUGCUUAUCACGUGGCUGCUUAAGAGGUGCUUGCCUGGUGAAUGGCCUUGGCAUACAUUAAGUGAAUAAACCACGGCAUUGUUCGGCUCCUUCAGCCGCUCUGCUCAGUUGACCCACUCAAUAACUGUUUGUUUGCACAGAUUUCCCCGUACAAGUGCAACAAGCUGAACCCUGGAUCUGAGCAGAUGUGUUUGGAGUAGGCUCUCUCUCCUCGCUUCCUUCCCAUCAAGGUGUAUUGUUGUGUCUUUUGAGAGCUCCAGCUCUCACCAGCGUGACUCAUUCAGGCAAAAAUUUCCGUGCUGUUUUCAGGGACCCUCGAGAGCUUCCAGGCGUGCUUCUCUCUUCCGUGGCUGUAUGCUGAGCCUUCAACUAACCCAAAGCUUCCCCCUACGAGCUCUCCUCGUGUUUUGACCCAACGUAUCUGCACAAGAGAAGGCAGCAAUGCAGAGGGGUGCUGGAAGGUGCACCGCUGUUCCCUGAGGCCAGAAUCAUCCCAGGGCAUCCCAUUGAUGCUUCUAGGCUCCAGCUAAGCCCUUGUGGAAGGGCAGACCCUCACAAGCAACUUUGUUUCAGGGACUCCAUUUUCAGAUACAGGAUUUGCGCAGACACAGCACUUCUCCGUGUGGAAACCAGAGGUCGUUUGGCUUGUAAGUUUGUCUAGCAUAGGGCUUGCACUGCUUGUGCCUCGUGUCCUCUGCCCAGGAGCAGCAAAGUGCUGUGUAAAUGUCACGGAUUGAGGCUCAGCAGGCAAAACCCUCGUUGAUGCAGAGACAAAAGCACACGGAAAAAUCGUCUCCAGCAGUAAAAGUGAGGGGAUGUCUCCGGGUAUUUGAAGAAUGCGGGCAAUAGGUUGUGGAGAAGGGACCCAUCCUGCAAAACAAAGCAACAACAGCAAGAUACGGAGCACGUGAUGCUGCUGCCUGAAAUCAAAGUCAGCCCGAGAGAAACUAAAGCACUACUUCAAGAACGCCGGGUUAAUGCUGUUCU
rnacentral:lncRNA from 1 species